GUGGUGGUGGCGAGAUCCAUCAGCACCAUCCCCGCCCUUGGUUUCCCGAUGAGCGUGAUGGGUUUAUCUCAUGGUUGCGCGGGGAAUUUGCUGCCUCGAAUGCGAUAAUUGAUGCGCUUUGCCAUCAUUUACGUGCUGUAGGAGAGCCUGGGGAAUAUGAUAUGGUUAUUGGAUGUAUACAGCAACGGCGAUGUAAUUGGACACCGGUGCUUCAUAUGCAGCAGUACUUUUCAGUUGCAGAAGUGAUGUAUGCCCUUCAGCAGGUAACCUCAAGGAGGCAGCAGAGGUAUAUGGACCCUGUGAAAGUGGGGCCGAAGUUGUAUAGAAGACCUGGGCCAGGGUUUAAGCAGCAGCAGGGCCAUCGGGCUGAAGCCACAGUCAAGG
rnacentral:lncRNA from 1 species